CACACUGUAAACGAUGAAUGCUAGGUGUAGGAGGUAUCGACCCCUUCUGUGCCGUAGUCAACACACUAAGCAUUCCGCCUGGGGAGUACGGUCGCAAGAUUAAAACUCAAAGGAAUUGACGGGGGCCCGCACAAGCAGCGGAGCAUGUGGUUUAAUUCGAAGCAACGCGAAGAACCUUACCAGGUCUUGACAUCCGAUUAAAGCUUAUGAAAGUAAGUGUCCCUUCGGGGGAAUCGAGACAGGUGG
rnacentral:rRNA from 1 species